AUGAACGCUAGCUACAGGCUUAACACAUGCAAGUCGAGGGGCAGCAUGGUCUUAGCUUGCUAAGGCCGAUGGCGACCGGCGCACGGGUGAGUAACACGUAUCCAACCUGCCGUCUACUCUUGGACAGCCUUCUGAAAGGAAGAUUAAUACAAGAUGGCAUCAUGAGUCCGCAUGUUCACAUGAUUAAAGGUAUUCCGGUAGACGAUGGGGAUGCGUUCCAUUAGAUAGUAGGCGGGGUAACGGCCCACCUAGUCUUCGAUGGAUAGGGGUUCUGAGAGGAAGGUCCCCCACAUUGGAACUGAGACACGGUCCAAACUCCUACGGGAGGCAGCAGUGAGGAAUAUUGGUCAAUGGGCGAGAGCCUGAACCAGCCAAGUAGCGUGAAGGAUGACUGCCCUAUGGGUUGUAAACUUCUUUUAUAAAGGAAUAAAGUCGGGUAUGCAUACCCGUUUGCAUGUACUUUAUGAAUAAGGAUCGGCUAACUCCGUGCCAGCAGCCGCGGUAAUACGGAGGAUCCGAGCGUUAUCCGGAUUUAUUGGGUUUAAAGGGAGCGUAGAUGGAUGUUUAAGUCAGUUGUGAAAGUUUGCGGCUCAACCGUAAAAUUGCAGUUGAUACUGGAUAUCUUGAGUGCAGUUGAGGCAGGCGGAAUUCGUGGUGUAGCGGUGAAAUGCUUAGAUAUCACGAAGAACUACGAUUGCGAAGGCAGCCUGCUAAGCUGCAACUGACAUUGAGGCUCGAAAGUGUGGGUAUCAAACAGGAUUAGAUACCCUGGUAGUCCACACGGUAAACGAUGAAUACUCGCUGUUUGCGAUAUACGGCAAGCGGCCAAGCGAAAGCGUUAAGAAUUCCACCUGGGGAGUACGCCGGCAACGGUGAAACUCAAAGGAAUUGACGGGGGCCCGCACAAGCGGAGGAACAUGUGGUUUAAUUCGAUGAUACGCGAGGAACCUUACCCGGGCUUAAAUUGCAGAUGAAUUACGGUGAAAGCCGUAAGCCGCAAGGCAUCUGUGAAGGUGCUGCAUGGUUGUCGUCAGCUCGUGCCGUGAGGUGUCGGCUUAAGUGCCAUAACGAGCGCAACCCUUGUUGUCAGUUACUAACAGGUUCCGCUGAGGACUCUGACAAGACUGCCAUCGUAAGAUGUGAGGAAGGUGGGGAUGACGUCAAAUCAGCACGGCCCUUACGUCCGGGGCUACACACGUGUUACAAUGGGGGGUACAGAGGGCCGCUACCACGCGAGUGGAUGCCAAUCCCAAAAACCUCUCUCAGUUCGGACUGGAGUCUGCAACCCGACUCCACGAAGCUGGAUUCGCUAGUAAUCGCGCAUCAGCCACGGCGCGGUGAAUACGUUCCCGGGCCUUGUACACACCGCCCGUCAAGCCAUGGGAGCCGGGGGUACCUGAAGUGCGUAACCGCGAGGAGCGCCCUAGGGUAAAACUGGUGACUGGGGCU
rnacentral:rRNA from 1 species